ACAGGGAGACAAGAUGGCACUGGAGAGAACCAGGGGAGUGUCACCUUGCCCCAAGCUCAGGAGAGAGGUGGAGGGGUAUCUCAGAACACAGGUUAUCGGUUAUCUCAGGUCAGAAGAGGUGGGCUGUCUUAAGAGGGAGGAGGUGGGCUAUCUGAGGAGGAGGUGGUGGGCUAUCUGAGGAGGAGGUGGUGGGCUGAGGAGGAGGAGGUGGGCUAUCUGAGGAGGUGGUGGGCUGUCUGAGGAGGAGGUGGUGGUGGGCUAUCUGAGGAGGAGGUGGUAGGCUGUCUGAGGAGGAGGUGGUGGUGGGCUAUC
rnacentral:sRNA from 1 species